GCAUCAAGCCUCAUGAACCUAUGAUUAAUCAUAUCUCUAAGGUCUAUGAGCUGAAGGGAAUUAUCAUGGCACUAGAGAAAGAGAAUGCGGAUCUCAAAUCUAGUCUUGGUAAGAUGUCAUUGGAUAAGGAGACCUUAAAGUUCAACCUGAAUCAGAAGAGAGAUAGAACACUUCAAGCAGAAAAUGGGGUGCAAGCUAAGUUGCACAAAAGAAGAAAAGUGGAUGAAGCACUAAAAGGAACUUGUGCUAGUUUGUUAGCAAAAAAGAAUAAGCUAGAAGAAAUUCAAUAUUAGGCUUGUAAAGUGGAUCUUAACUACAAAAAGAAAAUCAAGAAACUUCAAGACUAACUGGAAGCUUGCAAGAAAGGGUUGAAAGAUGAACAAAGUCGUGUCAAACAACUAGAGGUUACUCUUCAUCAGUGCUAGAGUGAGUUAGAUAAGAGGUUUGAAGAGAUUCGCGGGCUAAAGGAUCAAGCACACAAAAAUAUGGAGAGCACUAACCUACUCAAAUAAGAGAAUGCUAGUUGGGAAAGAUACAAUGGACACCUUCAAAGGCUCCUAGACUAGAAGGAGACAUUUUUGAGAGAUCUUCUAGAUGGACCUGAUCACACUUUGCUGCACAACCUUCUUAAGGACGCGGAAUAUUGGAGGGAAAGGCAUGCAUGCCUAACCCAAUUUGCUGAACAUGCCAUGGAAGACUUACCAGAAUUGUUGAAAGAAGCUUUUGUUGUAGUAUUUCCGCAUAACGUCCCUUGGGUUGUAUUUCAUUUCAUUUCUGUUUGUAGGGUGGUAUUUGAUAGGUUUAAAGUUGAGCUUAUUGUAGCCUGUCAGGCAGGCUCUUGAUGUGUAUUUGUACUCCACUUUCUGAUAUUGAAUAAAAGAGUCUCUCUCUUUAUGCUUUAUGUCUAUUUAUGUUGAUAAACAAAACUCAAGGAUUCCUUGGAAUUUUUUCUUUACAAAAAUGAAUAUAUAUGCACAUGUCAAAACUUUUUGCAUGCAUUUAUUUGCUUAAGCCUCCAGAGAACAAAAUGCUUACUCUCUCCAUCUUUCUAUAGCAACUACGAUGACUCGUCAUCGCUAUUAUACUCGUGCAAAAAAAUCCAAAUGCGUGGCUGAUUUUGAAAUCGACAAUGUUGUUGUUAAGGAAACCUUGGCUCAGGUCCAAGUAGAGAUGAACCUCUUCCGAGGUAAUAUGGUGACCAUUAUGGAAUACCUCCAAACUCAUUGGGCUUCUAUCUUUGCCAACCCUGCUUCCAUUUUCGUCACCAGUGUUGUUGUGGUGACCACUAUUGGUGAUGUCGUUGCCACUAUCAAAACUCAUGUGGAGACGGUGGUACCAACUACUGUGAAUCAGCCUUUGUUUACUUAUGCUUCUAAUAGGCUUGUUGUUGCCUGCCCAUGGGGAAUGCCCCCAAACUUCACUGCUCAUUUUGCUAAUGGGGGUGCCUUUAUUCCUCAUUUAGCUUUUAUCGCUCGUACUGCUGCUGGGAAUUUUGUUUUCCCAUGGGGUGUGCCUAUGGUCCAGACUCCUCAAACGAUUGAUGCUGCCAACUCUAAGAACCACCAAGGUCAGGUUUUGACAAUGAAGUAGAGUACUGAGGCCCCCGCCUCUAUUUUCAUAUUCCUUCCCAGGAAGUUUAUCUUGCAAAUCUGAAUCACUUACAAGCUGCUCUGUUUGCUUACUCUGGGGAAACUUUUGUUCUGAUACUAUCAUAUGCAUCUGCCAACCCUGCACUCAUGUACGUGCAGGCUAGGGAACCUCAGGCCCCUAAUGCUCAAGAUGGAUGGUAGUUCCUUCAUAUGAUGCACGAUGCUUCCCAAAUAGUGCUUCCCAGUUUCUCUUAUCCACUGCAGAUGUUGUUUACUCCCCAAAUUGUGCAUGCUCAGGAGUUUGCUCAAGACACCUCCCGACCAGCCAGCCAGGUCGUCGUUCCUACUGCUAGUCUGUCAGGCCGGCAGACUACCAAUUAUUGGAUGAUAGAAGAAUGGUUAUCGAAGGUUUCUAUGCCUUCGGCAUAAACGCAAGAGAUUUAUGCUUGGUUCCAAAUGUGGUACUCCCUCAUAAGUUCAAAGUACCAGAUUUACCAAUAUAUAAUGGAUUAAGUUAUCCUCGAAGCCACAUUACAAUGUAUUGCAGGAAAAUGGCAUCGUAUGUUGACAAUGAUGAUCUGCUAAUCCACUGUUUCCAAGAUAGUCUGUCAGGGGCUUCCUUGGACUAGUACAUGGUCUUAGAGCGUACAAAGAUUAGAUCCUAGAGAGAUUUAUCUGAAGCGUUCUUAAAGCAGUAUAAGUACAACCUCGAUAUGACACCGACAAGAUUGCAGCUACAUAAUCAGUCACAGAGGUCCAACAAGACUUUCAAAGAGUAUGCUCAAUUUUAGCGUGAAAUGGCUUAUAGGGUCAGAUCAACUUUGUCGGACAAUGAACUUGUUGACAUCUUCAUUGGUACGCUUCAAGGGUUGUACUUUGAGAAAAUGAUUGUCCAUUCUUCCACCAACUUCCCAGACAUUGUGACCAUUAGUGAACGUGUCGAAAAUGGGGUUAAAUCGGGAAAGAUCGUAGGUACCAUCGCUCAGCAAACCACAAAUAAGAAGUUGUAUGAGGGCUUUACAAAAAAGAAAGAAGGGGAGAUAAAUGUUUUAACGGUAAAUGUCCACACCCAAUAUCAAUUUCCUAUGGCUCCCAUGCCAUAUUAUCCAUACCCGUAUGUUUCCGCCACUCAGUAUCAACAACUUCCGCGUCAGUACCAACCAUAGAAUCGCAAUCAACAAACAACACCGAAUCAGAAUGCUUAGAAUCAAUAGAACACUUGUGACAAUAAGGGCCAAGGUCAAGGCCGAAAUAACAGGAAUAAUUAUGGUAAACAUCCUGAUUUUGAUCAGAUCCCUGUACCAUAUGCUGAAUUGGUGUCAUAUCUGAUCCAUGUAGGGGCUAUUAUGCCAAGGGAAAUCCCACCAUCCAUUCCUCCUUAUCAUCCAAGGCCUAAUUAUAAUGCCUUGUGCGCCUUCCAUGUUGGGUAUGUAGGACACUCCACUGAAGAUUGUUGGCCGCUCAAAAAUAAAAUCCAAUAGUUAAUUAACCAGAAGGUUUUGUCUUUCUCAGAAUAAAAUCCUAAUGUGAAAAGAAACCCCUUUCUUAAUCACGGUGACCCAGCAGUCAGUGUUGUAAUUGAAGAAGAGAUUGCAGAAUCCGUCAAGACAGUUGAUGGUGUGAAGACUCUGAUGUCGGUAGUGUUAAAAAAUCUUGAAAAUUUUGAGUUUCUGGUUGGUAUUCAUGAAGAUUUUGUUGUGUGUAAAAUCUGAUCUGGAUAGUUAUGGCAAUCUGAAGGGCUGUGUGCAAGAGUUGAUGAAUCAAAGGUUGAUAUAGUUCUCCAGAUCUAAAGUAGUUGAAGAGAUUGAAGUGAUUGAGCCUAUAACCAUUGUGUACAGGAAGAAGAAGAACGAAGCUCCUCCCAAGAGCAUUCAAUUGAUCCAUAUAUGUGUUCCUAGUCCAUUCUCGUAUCAGAAUAUCAAGGCAGUACCUUGGAAGUAUGAAACGACUGCAUAUGUGGGUGGAAAAGAAAUUAAAAUCUCUGACACUGAAAUUGUUAAUAUAACUAGAACGGGAGGCAUGACUCGUAGUGGUUGUGUAUUCACUCCAAAAUACACUCCUAGAGUGUCUCCAUCACCCACAGUUGUCCUGCCUAAAGAGAAGGUCCUUCUUAGUCCUCCUCUGCAGGCAGGGGCAUCUAUACCCGACAUGUUUAUCGUGACAACUGUUCCAGCAUUAACAAAGAUUAUUCCCGAUAAAGCUGCAUAAUCUAAAACUUCCAAGGGUAAGGGGCAGAUGGUUAAAGAUGAAUAGGUUGAAGGUCACAAGAAGAGUAUCUCUUUUGAGGAAGGACAAGAACUCCUCAAAUUGAUCGAGAAGAGUUUCUUCAAUAUUGUUGAUCAGUUGGGUAAGACUCCUUCCAAAAUCUCCAUUUUUUCUUUACUUCUGAGUUCUGAUGCUCACCGUAAAGCACUGUUAAAAGUCCUGAAUGAUGCUCAUGUGAUGCACGAUAUCACGGUCGAUCAAUUUGAUGACGUGUGUAAGACCCCAAUUUUGACCCUAAGAUCCCUCAUGAUAUACCAUCAUAUGCAUUGGCAUUGGGAUCACACCUUGACAUCCUCCUUCCCCCUCAUUCAUUGGGUUUGCAUUGAGAGAGAUCACCAAGCACCAUUUAAUUGUAUCAUACUUUGUAUUUUCUCAUUUUUACUAACCAAAAUACCAAAAAUAUGUCUUUGCAUAAUCUAACUCUUUUGUAGGUAGAGUACAUGCUCACCUUUGGUCUAUCAAGCUCACAUCUAGGGUUUAAGACCCUCAGUGCAAGGAGUUCAAUCAAGAAUUGGUAUACUAUGGCUCUAGGCAUCAUAUAUGGAUCCCCAUGAGAAUCACAUGUUAUUUUGAUCAAGAACUCAUCAAGAGUUUGGAAUUGUUUUGUAGUGGAAACACUAGUUCAUAUGGGUAUCUUGUGUAACUUCUUCAACAAUUGAUCAAAGAUUUCAAGGGAUACUUCAAAUUUCUUCAUAUUAUGAAUAUAUGAUUUCCCAUGAGUCCCUAAAGUUAAGAGAAUUGCAAGUUAGCAAGUUGGUUGAUGGUGGUUGACUAGAGGAAUUCAACUAAUCAAAAUUGGGGUUCCCUAGACCCUAUCUCCUACAAUAUUUGUCAUAUGAAAAUGAUUCCAAAAGAAACGUUACUGUAAGUGACAUUACAAACAACUUUCAUGUUGAGGUCUAGAGCUAGUUUUUCUUGGAAAGUCAUCUUUUAUGGUGAAAGAUUAUAGGUCAUUUUGUCUAAACCCUAAUUUGGAGGUCAACUUCCCAAGGUCAUAACUUGCUCAAUUAUUAUGAGAUGAAAGAUUUCCAAGUUUCACAAUCAAAUUCAAUAUGUCUACUUCAACUUUGAUGUUUGGAGGAAGAGCAAAUUCAACUUUUAUGAGCAUGUGAUAUGAGGAUACAUUAUAGGUCAUUUUGGACCAAUACCAUUGAACAAGUGAUUUUCCUCAACUUCAAAAAUGCAUACCUCCUUCAUAUCAAAUCCAAAUGAGGUAAAACUUAUAACCAUUUUGAAGUACUUUGAAAUAGAUACAACUUUGAUGAAGGAACUUCUCUCAUUUGAAACUCACACAAAAAGUUAGCCAAGGUGGAAUAAGUGAACAUAUGGCGUGACACUUAGAAAAAAAUUUGAUAUGUUAAAAUUUCCAAACUUCCACCUCAAAUUUCAUCAUUAUACAAGCUUCAAAUGGAUAAGUGUUCAACAUUAAAGUUGUUCCUAUUGAUCUAACCUUUCCAAAAAGUCCAAUUUCAUCCAUUUUGGACAAGAUUUGAAUGGGCUGCACAUGGCUUGAACAUUGUAUCAUCAUUUGGCAAAAUCAAACUUCAAACUUCCAUGUACAUUUGUCUUGCAUUCCAAGUUGAUUUUAGACUUGCUCACACUCAAUUAUGGAUCAAAUGGAAUGAUCUCAUGGGCAUGUACACGUCCAUGCACACAUGCAUCACUCAUUGCCAAUUUUGGAAACUCAAUUGUAAGGUGCAAAUAUCAUGUGAUUCAGCUAUAAAUAGAGGCUCAUAUGCUCAGAAUUAAGGACUCCUUCGCGCGAGCUUUGAUCCCAAACAUAAAACCCUUCCAUUUGAUAGGAUAAUCCUGACAAUUUCCUUUGGAAAUUGAGUUUGAAUCUCACUGUUUUGAGAUUCAAAACUCCAGGGAUCCAAGACCUUUUGUACAUUUUAAUCUACUUCUGCAAGCAUCCUAAGAAAUAUCAAGCACAAGCCAAAGCAAGAACAAGUGAAUCCAGACCUGCAUUGAAGGUAUUUUCCAGAAAAUUUCAUCUCUUCGAUUCUCACUCAAUUCUCCAUAAUUCUCUUGGAUCCUUGGUAGUCUGAAGUCCUAGCAAUAUAGGCAACAAGAUUGAGUUGCUUUGAGGUCAAAUUGAAGCAACUCAGAUCAUGCACCUCAAAUUUCAACUCCUUGUAUCUCUCAAUAUACUUGGAGUUGGGAUAAAUUGAGGCCAGAUUCGUGCUCAGUGCCAUUUUCACUUUAAAAUCAUGUCCUCUAUUUUUAUUUUAGUGAAGGUUAUGAUUGGACCAGUCCGGCGAGGCUCGCCUGAGAAGGAGACCGGAGAUUUGCUCUGGUGGUGAGUUAGCAAGGUCCAGAGCCACAUGAUCUGUUUGAUUUGUUCUAAUCACGAGUGUUGGUUUGAAUUACCAAGUUUGUGGCGCGCUGACUAGAGUCCACAAUGGAUUGCGCGUUUGUGGCCACUUGAUUUACCACCUCAAUUAAUGAAAUUUUUCUACAAGGUCCUUUAACCUUGUUUGACCUAUGAUAAAUCUCAUCGUCAUUUCUUUGGUGUCAAUUUAAUGCAUAUUUUAGUUGAUUUUAAUUGAAUAAAUGUCAAAUAAAUUGUGUUGAGCUUCUAUUAUUGACUUAUUGAGUUUGACUUGUGUUGUUGGGCCUUGGUCAAGGUUGAUUUUACUUUUCUAAGUUAAGAUCAUUGGAUUUAGGGGAAUGAUGAAAUGUACAUUUCAUCUCCCAAAAUGAAUGAAUGAUCUUAAUUUGGUAAAAGUCCUUGUUUUACCAAUUUGUGUUGAUUUCAUUCCCCCUCCCUCUUGAUCUCAUUACUCUUCUUUAUUCAUUCAUGUCAUGGACCUAUGAUAUCUCUAUAUCCUAAGGCUAGUUGAUUGCAAAAUCAACAUGAGUAUGGAUGAGAUUAGAUCCACCACACUUUUGCAUAUUCUUUUUGCGUGUGGUAUCUUUCGUGAGCAUAGUCCAUUAUAUUAUGUCUCUAACAUGCAUUAACACCAAACUUCUAUUGCCUGGUCUCAAAUAGUUGUGAAUUCUGCAUAAGUCCAAUUACGAUUGCUUAACAUAACGCUAAAUUUGUGACACAAAAGGCAUAGCAUUCUAGUAAGUAAGAUUGUAAGUCUCCCCUCUUUCAUGGUAUUGUAUGGAAACUUGGCCUUUUUUUCCUUCCUUUGGAAGAUGUCUUGGUUCAAGGAUCCAUGCAUGUGAAUAGUGGGUUGAGUGUUCUCCAAAGAAUGACUUAAACAAUACAAAGCAAAAGCAAUACUAACUUCUAAUCAACUAACAACUAACCUUUAAUUUCAAGCCAUUUACUUUUAUGCACUUUAAUUUCAAGCUUUAUUCAUUUGCCAUUAUUCAUACCGUUCAAUUUAUUUACUUUAAUGCCAUUUUCAAUUUUCCACUUGGGCCAUAAUUUGUGAUAUAUUGUGUUUGUAUAUACUUGUUUGUUUGUAUGGUCUUUUGACCUUAAUGUACAUAAUAAAAACAAAAACCCUAAAAGACAUUUGUGCGGACUGUUGGAUUUGAUCUGAGACAAUGGACUUAGAAUUAGGAAACACUCCCUAUGCAAAAGGACUUGUCCAAUGCCAACUUUCAUGAAACCAAGUGCUUGUGAAGUGAAUUUUCAACUGAAGCAAGUAUUGUGAUCCCAUCUGAGUUCAUCUGUUACAUGGUCUUAUUGAAGCUGUUACUUUGAACCUGUGUCUAAUGCCUACUUUUGGAAGUCAUCUGAUGCAUGGGAAAUUUUGAAGAAGAUCAUGGAGUUGCUAAGCUUGGAUGGGGCUAUCUUUAUUUGAUGCCUUGAUCUUCAUCUUUCUAUUUGUGUAUUGAUAUUGCUUGAUUCUAAAGUCCAAGGGAAAUUUGGGUUUCUAUAUGACAUUCUUGUCUAUUGGAUUGCAGCCCAUUGGUUAGAUAUUUUCAACUCUUAACUUUUAAAUUUGUGCUUAGGAUUAGUAUCUUCAUCUCUCCCCCAUUUAUUUAAUUUCAAAUCUCUCUCUACUUUCAAAAAUCUUCUUUGCUAGUGUUUGUUUUCUAAACUUAUACCAUUUUGCAAAUUAGAAACUUUGGCCUUAUGCCAUUGCAUUUUUAAAACUCUUUUCUUUGUCAAAUUUGUAAAUGAACUUAACUAUACUUGACUUAAAAUUUCAAAAGCGAAAAAGAACUAACACUCAUUCCAACCAUUUUUAGGCCUCUUGUGCCUUUGUUAAACUUAAAUUUUGUUAAAAGAAAUCCACUCACUUUGAAAUUGAUACCACAAACUACGAGGUUUUGAUCCCUCAUUUUAUGUUGGUACGUAGGCAUAAGUCUGAAGGUCUUAUCAAACACAAAAAUACAAUUAAUGAAUUAUUUUCUCAUCCCCCCACUCUAUUUAUUGCAAACAUCAUUUGGUACAAAAACACAUAUGCACACAAGAAAGGGCUCCCUAGGAGUACCUAGGACACUUUGGGUGCUAACACCUUCCCUCUGUGUAACCAACCCCCUUACCUGUAAUCUCUGGCAUUUUAUUAGUUUUGAUAGGGUGCUAACACCUUCCCUCUGUGUAACCAACCCCCUUACCUGUAAUCUCUGGCAUUUUAUUAGUUUUGAUUUGAAAAUUUCUUAUUUUUGGGUUUUGUUCGUACUUUUCCCUUUUCCCUUGGAAACGAUAAAAGCGCGAUGGCGACUCUGGUUUUAUUGACGUCUAGCUUAUCUAUAGCUUGAUGGUCAUGAAUUUACCGCCAUAGAAAUUAAGUGGCGACUCUACUGGGGAGUAGUCUCCAGUGGGUUUAGCCUACUUUUUCGUGUGUAUAUAAUUGUAUAUUUUGAUGUAUGUAUAUUUGUUUGUGUGAUAUAAUGUACUUGUUGUGCUUGGUGAUCUCUGAGUGGUGAAAUAAGUUCUAACAUGGACUUGAGUGAAAUUACGAUAAGAGGAUGGUAUAGUCAUGUUCGACUUGUGUGGAGUAGUCCUUAACAAGUUGGAUUGAGACCCAUCUACUCAGUGGAUACCCUUUUGGAGUUAUGAAUGUUACACAAGUUAUUUGUGGUUAGGCAUUACUUCCUCUGAUUUGGGGUCCGAGAAGUUGAGGACCGUAGAACAUUUAACCCAUCUUGGCCUAUUUAAGACGUAGUGCGGAGACUGUUCAAAUGUAGACUUGAUAAUAGUUGUCACGCGAUACUACACUCAGACGAGUUUCUCUUGAGAUAUUAUGGGUUGAUGAGUCAGUCAUCCUAACUUGUAAUAUCCGAUAGAUGGAAUUAAGACUCUGGGAACUUUUUAGAACAUGAUCUACAGGUUCUUAUCCUUAGUACACUCCUUUGGGAUGGUUCUUACCCAGACUCCAUGCUCGUGACUCACAACAAACCCUUUGAUUCUUGGUUGAUCCAAUCAAGUCUUGUCAAUAUCAAUGGAACUUAGGUGUUGAUAAGGCGAAAAACAUAAUCCACUAAAAUGGAUGAUUGAUCUUGACAAUGCCUUGAUUCAUCCCUUGACCUUUGUUUGGUUUCCUUGUGUGUGAUCCCUUAUUUGUGAUUGUUGCAUUCAUGCAUUCAUGCGCAUCAUAACAUUCAUCACACGAAAAAUAAUUUCAAGAAACUGAGGUCUUAUUUGUAACUAUUUUCAGACCAUGGAUUGUGGACGUAGGAACACUAAGAAGUACAGUUUUAGAAGUCCGGAUUUGAAAGAGUUAAGGAAGGUAUCAUCUUUUGUAUUAGGUCUCUUGGACUUCAAGCUACGUCAUGGGAAGCUUCUAUCUAUUUUGUGUGCUGAUGUGGUUGAAGGAAUUUUGAGUGUGUUGGUUCAGUUAUAUGACCCUCUCUACCGUUGCUUCACUUUUCCUGAUUAUCAGCUUGUGUCUACGUUGGAGGAGUAUUCCCGUCUGUUGGGAAUACUUGUUUCUGACAUAGUGCCUUUUAGUGGAUUGGAAGAGAUUCCCAGAUCUCAUCUUAUAGCUGAAGCUCUUCAUCUGAAGAAGUCUGAGAUAGAGGCUCAUUGGGUGAAGAAAGUAGGAUUAUUUGGGUUGACUUCUGAUUUCCUCAUCAAGGAAGCUACUGCCUUUGCUCAAGCCGGUAGUGUGGACGCUUUUGAAACCAUCUUUGUGCUGCUCAUCUAUGGAUUAGCUUUGUUCCCUAACAUUGACGGUUUUGUUUAUGUUAACGUCAUUAGAAUAUUCUUGAUUGGGAAUCAUGUGCCUACUCUUUUGGGUGAUAUGUACUUAUCUUUCCAUCUAAGGAAUUCUAAGGGUGGUGGAACUAUCGUCUUUGCGUUCCUCUUCUGUACAAGUGGUUUAUUUUGCACUUGUCUCAGACGCCUACUUUUGUGGAGAAUAAACAAUGUCUAAGGUGGUCUCAGAGACUUAUGUUUCUCACUAAUGAUGAUAUAGUUUGGUAUGAUUCUUCAUUGGGUAGCUUGGAGAUUAUUGACAGUUGUGGUGAAUUCUCUAAUGUACUUCUCAUUGGUACACAAGGAGGAAUCAACUAUAACUCUACUUUGGCUCGUCGUCAACUUGGAUUCCCCUUCAGAGAUAAACCUAAUAACACUUUGUUAGAAGGUCUUUUCUAUCAAGAGGGUAAAGAUCCCCAUCGUUUGAAGCAGAAUAUUAUGCAUGCUUGGCAUAAUGUGCAUAAGAAAGGAAGAUCCGAGCUUGGUCCGCGCAAUUGUGUAGCUUUGGAAGCUUACACUCUUUGGGUGAAGAAGAGAGCUUUGGAGUUGAAGAUGCCUUAUGCUUGUGAAAGACCUGUGUCUAUGGUUGUGGUUGAGCCAUUAACUCUCCCUAACCAAGAUGUAGUGGAGUUGGAAUACGCGCUCGCCAAGAUGAAGCAAGAGAAGGAUAGGUGGGAAGAUCGUUUCCAUGCUUUGAGUAGAAAGCAUGAGGAGUUGUAGCUUGAGUCUAAGGACAAAGAUGCACUUAUUGAGCUUCUUGAAGAUCGGGUAAUGAAGAGACAGAGAGAACUAGAGGGUCCAUCUUCCUCUAGUAUGUCUCAGCCUUCCAUCGCUUGGAAGAAGAUUGUUGAUCAACUUGUCCUUGAGAAGGCUCAGAUGAAGACUUCUUUUGAAUCCGAGAUUCGACGCAUUCGAAGGAAGUAAGCACCUACAGUUAGAUCUUCUAAUGUUGUUAUUAGGGAUCCUUAGAAUGACUAGUCUCCUUUUCUCUUGUAUUUUGUACUUUUGGAUUCUGAAAUUGUACUCAGUGUAAUCCUUCCAAUUAUAUAAAUAAAAGAGAUUUUUAUGGUCAAUCAAAUUGUUGCAAUCGUUUUUAUCAUAUAUAUUUGAAAAUAAUAUAGUAAGUUCCUUGGAAAAUAAAAACAAUCAAGCAUUGCAUUUCAUGCAUCAUUUGCAUACAGGUUUCUCUUCCGCCAGAUGUCUUAUUGGUAUUUCUUAUGUGCUUCAGCCAAGCUGACUCAUCGAUACAAUACUCGCGCAAAUCACUCAAGGAUCAUGGAACAUCUGGAGCAAGAGAACAGAGAUUUGAAGGACGAGAUCGCCCGCUUGACUGCCAUGAUGGAGUCAGUGUUAGCCGCUCAUAGCCAAUCUUCUCCAACACCUGCAACUCCUCCUCCUCAGAGGACUGUUAUUUCCGAGGUUGCUACCUCUAUCAUUCCUGCUACUGCUGCUCACUUUGCACCGGCCAUGUGUCGCAUCUCGAAAAAUACGAUUCCUCGCGAUGGUCGCGGAAAAAAUUAAUGUUCGAAUAGAGUUGCCAUCGAACUUAAUUUAUCCCAAUGAAGGGAUAGUAAAAUAUCGAUAAAACCUUUAGGAAAUGGAAUAAUGGUCGUCGCAACCAUAUUCGAGUUCGGGAGUGGAUUACGUAAGGGGAAGGUAUUAGCACCCCUUACGUCCGUUGUACUCAACGGGAACCUUUAAACCUUUAGGAAAUGGAAUAAUGGUCGUCGCAACCAUAUUCGAGUUCGGGAGUGGAUUACGUAAGGGGAAGGUAUUAGCACCCCUUACGUCCGUUGUACUCAACGGGAACCUUUUAGUUCUAAUGUGCGUUUCAUGUGUUAAUUUAUGUUUGUUUGUUAUUUUUGGGUUAUACAAUUGUAAAAAAUAGAAAUGGACGAGAACCUCAGAAAGGGAAAGGGGAGGUUUUUUAUUAGUGUGCUCGCGAAGGUACAACAAUCUCCUACCUACGUAUCCUUAUGGUAUAAUAAGGAAAUCAGAGCAUUCGUAGUUCGGGGAACUACGAUUGGUUGGUGUUUUUUAAUGAACAACUGUUUAGACUGCGUUUCUAAAGGCUAAACGUUGGCUUGUCUAGUCUCGGCGGAGGCUUAAGCACUAGUUUGCUGUGCGCAUUAGAAAGGAUUAACAAUGUUCUUUCUGAAAAUAGUUUUGGUCACAUGGGGGUGACAAGUUGGACUAAUAUGUUGGAUGUUUUGAUUGGUUGAGAUGUUUUUGGUUGAAUGACGAUUACUCUGAUAGUUGAGUAAGACAACUCGUAUCCUAACAGUCGGGAAAGGGAAUAGAAGACUCUAGACCACUUUCUUUUUCAUCCUUAAUUAUAGAAAGGAUUUGAUAAUAAUUAGGGUGUUUUGAGUGGAUGACGAAUACUCGGAUAAUCGAGUAAGACAACUCGUAUCCUAAUAAUCGGGAAAGGGAAUAGAAGACUCUAGACCGCUUUCUGUUUCAUUCUUAAUUAUAAAAAGGAUUUGAUAAUUGUAAGACCCCAAUUUUGACCCUAAGAUCCCUCAUGGCAUCAUUACAUUGCAUUUACAUUGCCUCAAGGAUCAUGAGCGUCUUGGUUCCCUUUGCCUUUGGGUGGGAUCUCUUGAGAUGUGGUUUGAGAUCACCAAGCAUGCUUGAAUUGUAUAUUAUUGCUUUCCUCAUUUCUUUUAUUAACUCAAAAGCACAAAAAUAUGUCACUAACAUCUUUUAUUUGUAGCUUGAGCAGUCACAAGGUCUAAAGCUUCUAGGAGAUCCUUUGUGCAAUGAUAUGGUCAAGAGAAGAUGAAAGCAAGCAUGGUAAUGGUUCCGAAAGCUCUCAUCCAUCAAAUAUGCCUCCCAAGUAUCUCAAUUCAUCAUUUUGAUCAAAGCAAGUCAAAGGGUUUGAGGUUUGUUUCCCAAGGAAACCUUAAUUCAUAUAUUCAUCAACUGUGCCUUGCUCUUGAAGAAACCUCAACCCAUGGUCAAAAAAAAAUCAAGGGAAGUUCUUUAAUUCAUCAUUUCAUGCAUUUUUGAACUUAUUUGAGUGUCCUCAAUCAUAAGUUCAUCAAGAUAUAAGUUUUGGACUUGAGAAGUUGAUCAGUCAAUUCAUCUGACCAUUUUGAAAUGCAUUGAGACCUAACUUUUUAUGUGUUAGUCCAAUGGAGAUGACCCCAAGAGAAAUAUUGUUAUUAAGGACAAUAUGAACAACUUUCAUGUUCAUCAAAAUUUAAUUUGAAGCUUGGAAGGUCAUCAUCCAUUCCAAGACAUUAUAGGUCAUUUUGACUGAAACCCUAAUUUUGGGUCAACUUCCCAAGGACCUAAGUCCUUCAUUUUUCAUGAUUUGGAGGUGGGAUCAAAUGAAUUGGAAAGCUUAAUGUUUGUAAUUCAAAUGUUAUGUUGAGAAAAAUUACAAAAUCCCAAAAGAAAUACAUGUGAUAAUGCAAAACAUUAUAGGUCACUUUGGGCCAACUGCAUUGAAAUGUGAAAAAGUCCAACUUCAAGUGCCCAUAACUUCAUCAAAAAUCCAAAUGAUGCAAAAUUUAAGUCCAAAUUUAUUUUCUUGAAAAUAUCUACAACUUUCAUGUUGAAGAUUGUAUUAUUUGGAGCUUGCAUCAUUGAGACAGAGGGGCUUGAACAUUGGCCAAUUUUGGAAAUUUCACAUAUGCAUGUUUUGCACCUUACACUUCAAGCUUAAUUUUCAUUAAUUUCCAAGGCCCAAUUGGAUUUUUGAUCAACAUAGCAUUUGUUCCUUAUGCAAUAAGCUUUCCAACCAUUACCCAUAAGCCUAUGUUUCAAUUUUGGAAGUAUUAUUUUCGAAGAGGAGAACUUUUUAGUGCAUUUUUGGAAACUUGAUUCAAUUGCCAUGCAUGAGCUCACACAACCUAAUUUGCACGUCCAUUUCAUUCAUUUAUGAUAUAAGCCUGCAAUUCCAAUCAGAAUUGGGCCCUCCAUGCGCCUGUACAGGCCCAUGCAUGAAGGCCCUCUUCUCCGAUGCACACUUUGUUCAUGCAUAUCAGUUGGCUUUGGCUAUAAAUACAUGGCAUGUGAGCUCUUAUUUCUUAACCUGAAGGCACCUGAACCUCUGCUGAACUCAAAACCUACCCUCACCAAAGGAACUUUUCUCUUUCUUUCAAAAAUAUCAGAUCUGAAAUUCAAUUGCAUCGAUUGAUUUUUAAGAUCCAUAGUUCCUAGACCUCUUCAGCUUGAUCCAUAGAAGCUUCUGUUUGCAAAAGAACUCAAAGAUAGUGACUCAAUUCAGCUCAAUUCCAAGGUUUUGCUCAACUGCAUUUUGCUUCAAAACAGCUCAUAUAUUGUUCCAUUUGCCUUGAUUUUGUGUGAUUUGAAGUCCUCUGCAUAGAGGCAUCAUUAUUGUGUUCUUAAUUUUUGAAAUCAAGCAAGUUCAGUUGAACACCACCAAAGUUCCAUCUCUGAUUUCUCUCUCAAUAGGGAUCUAGAGUGGAAUUGAGUAAUAGAGGCAUCAUUAUUGUGUUCUUAAUUUUUGAAAUCAAGCAAGUUCAGUUGAACACCACCAAAGUUCCAUCUCUGAUUUCUCUCUCAAUAGGGAUCUAGAGUGGAAUUGAGUGGCAUAGGAGUGACGUACAUCACUCCACCUUUCAUUUGGUACCUGGAUCGUGCGUUUUGGUGCACAUUUGUUCUUCUACAAAUUUGAGCUCUCACCGGAGCUAUCCGGAGAAGACGGUGGCGCUGACCCCUGUCUGGUCUCCAGAUCCAAUCGUGGUCGUCCAUUUUCAUUUCCAGAUUAGAUUUAGGUUGUCCGAUGUUAUGACCAUUUUUAAUUGUUUGUGUGGUUGCAUUGACUCACGUGUAUUAUGGAAGCGUGCUCAGAUCCGUCUGAUCUGCCAGGUCAAUUAAUGAACUGGAUCCAACGCCUCUCCUUUUUUCUUAUUUUUAAUUUCUGAUUUCUAUUUUCUUUUAUUUCUUUUAAUUCCAUUUUAUUUCUAAAAUCCAUAUCUCUUUCAUUAUUGGUCCAAAAAUUAUGGGACCAAUUGCAUUAUUUCUCUUUUAAUUUCUAGUUUCUAAAAAUGAUUUUUAAUAUUUUUUAUUUUGUCAUUUGCUAUUUUUUAAUAAUUUUCUCUUUUCUGGUUAUUUUUAAUUCAUUUUAAAUAGUUUUUCAGAUCCAAAAAAUACCAAAAUAUUUUCUCAACCUCUUUGAACGAUGAUAGAUCUAUGAAAAAUAUUUUCAUCAAUUUAUUAAUUGAUUUGAGAUUUAUUUGAGAUUUUAGUUCAAUUAGGUUAUUUUUAUGCAUUUUUAAUUGAUCAAAAAUAGUUUCUGACUUUUAUAAAUGUUGAAAUUUUUUGUCAAACUUUUUUUGACCUUGUUGAACUUAGGAUAAUUCACUUGGACUUUUCAAAGUUGAUUUGAAGUGAGUUUGAAGUUUGACCUUUCUUUAAUAUUUUAAUUCAAGUUUUAUUUUAAAUAUUAAAAAAUGCCAAAAAUAUUUUGUUUAUUUCUUGACUUCUAAUCUUCAUUUUGCUUCUGUUUUCUAUUGUUUGACCUUGAUCUUCUCUAUCUUUGGUCAUAGCUUGUUGAUUAUCUCAUUCCAUUUCAUUUAAUGCACUUUAAUUCUUCAUGUCUAUUCUUNAGAUUGUUGGCGAACACUUGCCUACGUACCUCUUAAACAAGAUUAGGAUCAAAACCGUCUGUAGUUGGCGUAAAAAUUCAAAAUUGAGUUGGUGAAUUGAUUUGGUCCGAAAGCACUUAAAGGUACUUUUUGUGUUGAUCCAAGGGAGAAAAACUCAAACCUAAAACACAACCCACCAUGUGCAGGAUUAGCUUAACAUGUUAUGAGGGGGUUUAACCCUAUACGAUAAGCAUGGAAGACACAUUGUCCAUCACUAAGGAUAUAGGUGAGUAUUACGAGUCCUAACCUCAAAGCAUAACUCAAGAGCCUGAAUACGCUAAAGGUUUAAAAGAUUUAAUUAAGAAAGUGGCCAUUGAAACCACAAAAGUAUUUGAAUGAUGGUAUUUACGCAAAUGAAUAAGAUAUUUGACAAAAUAUGGUCAAAGGUGAUUUAGAAGUUCAAUUCAAAAAUAAGUGUUAUGAAAAAAGUUUGGGAAAAUCAAAAAAAGCCAUAAGGCUUAGGUUUCCUAAAUGUUGAAAACAAGGUUAAAUGUUGCAAACAAAAGUUUUGGUUUGGGUUUAGAAGGGAGAAGAAGAAUGAAUGGCAAAGUCCUAAUCAUACAUGAAGAGACAAGGGAUAAGAAAACAAGACCAACAAAUGGAGUUCCCUCUCUUUGACGAUCGAUAUUGAUGAAAUCAAGUAGCUCCCAUCUUGGAAUAUGCAAGCAAAAAUUUAAUAGUCGCUCAAGCAAUCAACACAUCAAACAAGCUCCUUAGGCGAAUCCUCAAUGUAUCUGGUUGUAUCUUUCACUUGGAUGAACAUUGGCAAUGGUUCCUUUUAACUCUUGAGCUCUCAUAGGAUCCCCUAGCACAAAAAGCACACACAUCAAAAAGUUCUAUGAAAGUAAAUCAAGAAUGGAACAAGAGUGUUGAGUUUGGGUCCUUCUAGUCCAUCUCAACAUUAAAGGUCCUUGUUACUCCAAUUUGCCAUAGGAAAGUUCUAGAAACUAAGUCGCAUUUGUCCAUAUUCUUUGCAUUUGGUCCACAAACAAUCAAAACAAAAACACAAGCACAAUUAAUUAUACUACACAAUUACGUGUGCUCAAAGUGAGCAAGAAGCAAUUGCAUUAAACAUACAUGUGCUAAAUGAGCAGAAGGGAAAAGAAAUGAUAUAUGUAAGAUAUAGUUAAAUUGAUAAAGUAAGUGCAAGAGUAAAUGUUAAUGGUUAAUUGUUAGUGUUAGUAGUUCAGGUGUCAUAGGCAUUUAAGCGCUAUGUUAAGCAAAUCGUAAUGGAGUUAUUGUGAAGUCACACUAUCUGAGGCGGUUAAUAGUAUAUUUAUGGCAACACAACAAGGUUAGAGGUCUUGAUUGUGAAUCAACACUCUACAACUUGCCAUGGCGCAGAAAGAAGAUGAGAAUGAUCUUGUUUGGUUUAGGUCCUUUUGCAUGUUUUAGAAAGCAAUCUUCCGUUAAUGGAAAGCCAUUCACUUUGAUCAUGUGAUCAAGUGAUUAGAUUUGAAUUCAAGGAAGAUUAAAACCUCCCUAUCAAUGCUAACCAUCGAACCUUUAACUCAUUGAUAAAAAAAGAAAAGAAGAAGAGAAGAAGAUGAAGAAAGUGAAAGAUAGCAUGAAGAAUUAAAGUGCAGCUUAAAUGAUCUCUUGUAUGAUUAGGACUUUAGCCAUUCUUCUUCUUCCCUCCACUCUAACCCAAACCAAAACUUUUGUGCAAACAUUUAACACUUGUUUUCAAACAUUAGAAACCUAAGCCUUAUGCUUUUGAUUUCCAAACUUUCUUUUCAUAACACUUAUUUUGAAUUGAACUUCUAAAUCAACUUUGACCAUAUUUUGUAAAUACUUUUCAUUGGUAAAUACCAUUCAUUCAAAUACUUUUGUGGUUUCAAUGGCCACUUUCUUAAUUAAAUCUUUUAUAACCUUUAGCUAUUAGGUUUGAGUUAUGCUUGAGGUAGAUGUAAUACUCACCUAUAUCCUUAGUGAUGGACAAUGAGUCUUCCAUGCUUAUUAUAGGGUUAACCCCUCACUAACAUGUUGAAGCUAUCCUCACAUGGUGGGUUUGUGGUUUUAGGUUGAGUUUUCUCCCUUGGAUAACAAAAGACCUUAAGGCUUUUGGACCAAUCAAUUCACCAACUCAUUUUUUGAAAUUUUUACCCCAAACUACGAGGUUUUGAUCCUAAUCUUUUUUAAGAUGGUACGUAGGCAAUGGGUUUAUCCAUCCAAACACAAAAAUGUAAAUAACUUGCAUAUUCUCUUCUCAUCUCUUCAAUCAUGUUUGCACAAACAAAUUUUCACAAAAUACCAACCUUACAACAAGUGUGAAAAGGGCUCCCUAGGAGUACCUAGGAUGUUUUGGGUGCUUAAAACCUUCCCAUUGCAUAACCAACCCCCUUACCCCGAUCUCUGACAUUUUUACUAGUUUUUAAUUCGAUAAAAUUUUUAGGUUUUUAUUCGCUUUCUAACCAUUCCUUUGAAUAAAUAGAAGUGCGGUGGCGACUCGACUUGUAUGGUUUACCUUAGAUUUAGUCAAUAUCUCUAAUGGUAACGAAUACCCCACUACAAUAAUAAUUAAGGUGUUUUGAAUGGAUGACGAUUACUCGGAUAAUCGAGUAAGACAACUCGUAUCCUAAUGGUCGGAAAAGGGAAUAGAAAACUCUAGACCACUUUCUCUUUCAUCUGAGUGGUUAUGAAAAUAAGUUUACGUAUGGUUGAUGUAUUUUUAGAAUAGACGACAAGUACUUGAAUGGUUGAGUAAGACAACUCAUAUCCAAGCAUUUGAGGAGAGGAAUCUAAGGCUCAAGACCAUCUCCCUUUUCGUAUAGUUUGUUAUGAAAAUGAUUUGAUUAAGUUGUAUGUUUGUGGAAAAAUGACAAUUGCUCGACUGGCCGAGUAAGAGAACUCGUAUUCAAGCAAUUGAGGAGAAAAGUUGAAAACUCAAAGUCAUCUCCCUUUUCAUUUCUUAUUAUGAAAAUAAUUUGAUUUAGUCGGGUUUGGAAGUUUGUAGAGGAACGACAAUUAUUUGACUAACCAAGUAAGAGAACUCGUAUUCAAAUAAUCGAGGAGAAAAAUUGAAGACUCAAAGUCAUCUCCCUUUUCCUUUCUUAUUAUAAAAGAGUUUGAUUUAUUUGUUCUUAAGUGGGUGGAAGUGACGACUAUUUGACUAACCGAAUAAGAGAACUCGUAUUCAAAUAAUCGAGGAGAGGAAUUGAAAACUCAAAGCCACCCCCCUUUUCAUUUCCAAAUGAAAUGUUGUUUGAUUGUGAUUGGAUACGUUCUUUUAAUUUUUAAUGAAAAUACUCGACAUUGGAUUGAGGUUUUGAUUUUGUGUUUAUGAAUGAAAUGAAUUUUAUUUUAGUGUAUUAUUCUUCUACUCGAUUAAUUAAUAACUGGAUAGGUCUCAUUGUAAGAAAGCCCAAGAGUAAGCUAUGUGAGGUUGAUGGCGAUACUUUUACAAGUAAUCGACUUACAAAGGCGUUUUGAAAAUGGGCUCGACUUUGAAUCGAGAAGUAUGUGUUUUAUUUUUUUGAAAUUGGCUCGAAUGAUUUUAAAUUGGUGAUAACGACAUAAUCUCGUCAUAAUUAUAACAUGUCAUCCAUAUGCACUCGAGACUCGGUAUAAAUAAAUAAAUACAAAAUAAUCAUGCACAUACACUCCACAAAAAUCAACAAUUAUCUAAAUUAUAAGUGAUAUUAAUAAUAAUAUAAUUAAUUAAUUAAAUAUUUAGUAGAUUAUUUUGAUUAAAUAAUAAGUAAUUAAAAAAAUGAUGAUAUAACCAAAUAAUUGCAUAUUUAUCAUUAAAUAUUAAUAAUAGUAAUAACAAUAUAAUUGUGUAUUUACUAUUAAGUACUAAUAAUAAUAAUGAUAAUAAUAAUAAUAAUAUAUAAUUAUAACUUUGAAAGAAAGUAAAUAAAAUAAAAUAAAUGAAAUUAAAGUAAAAAAAUAUUUAAAUUUUGUAAAAUAAUUAAACAACUAUCAUUAGGAAUUAAACUAUUAUAUAUAUAUAUAUAUAUAUAUAUAUAUAUAUAUAUAUAUAUAUAUAUUAUAAGUAUAUAUGUAAAAAAUAUAAAUAAAAAAGAAAGAAUAAGUCAAAAAAUAAAGAAAAUGGGCUAGUGGUGGUGAAAAAUUAAUAAAAUAAUUUAAUCAAAUUAAAUCAAAGAUACCGAUGAAUUAAUUUAAAUAAAAUAGGGUCUACUUAGGAUAUUUAAGUAAUUUAGAUUAACAAAAAUAAUUCAGGAUAAUGAGUCAUUAAAUUAAAAAAAUUAGUAAAUUGAAUUGUUAGUUAACUAAUUGAAGCUAAUUGUUAGCUAACAUGAUUAUCUUUUAAAUCCUCCACACAGUAAAACAGAAGAAAAAGAAAUGGGCUAAAACCGAAUUUAAUGAAAAAUAGGAAUAAACAAAUGUGCUUUUUUUGACUGAACAUAUGCUAUAUUCUAAUAUGCAAUGUCACCUAGUAUUCAAAGUUAAUUUAUUGUUUUUUAUUAAUGAUGCAUUGAAUAAAAUAACAAAUAGGGGUGGCUGUCAGCAUAGCCCACACGGUAUCCCCAAGAAAAAUCAAUUACUCACCAUAAGAACCUUCCAUAUACUAACAUAUGACACCUAAUGAUGUUUAAAGAGAAAUAAACAAUAAUAAAUGAAAAUUAAAGUAAUGCUUGGAUAUUUUAAAAAACGUAAGGACGAAAAACGUUCCUUCACAAAACCAAUGCACCUCUUUCUUAAUCUAACACCCUUUCCUCCUAUCCAUUUCUUCUCUCCAAAAGGGUUUAUGAAAAAAAAGUUCAGUUCACCAUCAAGUUUAUCGCACAACAAAAAUAUUCAAACACAAAGAUCUACCUCAAACGAUACAAAACCCCAAAUCUCAAAAUUAGCAACGAAAUUUUGCAAACAAAAGUUUAUCGCACAACAAAAAUAUUCAAACACAAAGAUCUACCUCAAACGAUACAAAACCCCAAAUCUCAAAAUUAGCAACGAAAUUUUGCAAACAACCUCCAAAAGACCCAAAUCGUGACUUUACAAAAAAAAAACUAAAAAUUGAAACAAAUCGAACCAUCAUCAUCAAUAAAUUCAAGCAAUCUAAAGGAGGCUCCUACUCAGUUAAUCACGACAAACAUGCAGGCACAAUCAAUUUGGAUCCAAACAUGAAGAAAUUUACCUGACCGAAGCUAGUUCAACGAAGUUCUCUCCGGCAACCCUCAGAUAACUCUAUUUCCUCUUCUUUUCGGUUUUACGAUGGCCUCCUCCUUCUGUUUUGAUGUUGUGUUAUCCUUUAAUGUUAGGGUUUUUUGUGUUUUUUACAAAAUAUUUUUUGAUUUGUUCUGCUCGGAUCCUCAAAAACGUGUGUUCUGUUUCUUUUGAGUUAACAAAGAAAAGAUUACUUUGACAAUUUCUUCUGGAUUUUAUUAAAACGUGUUACUGUUAAUUAGUUUUGUGGUUUAUAUACAUGAAUGUUGGUUUAUGUGAUAUAACUUGUUGGAUCCUAUUUCCAGAUUUUGUGGUAUGAUUAAUCUAUGGAUUUAAAGUUGUUUAUUUGGAUAAUGCAGUGUGUUUCUGAGCGCUUCCUUUGAUUCAUUGUGUAACAUAUUAAUUUGCUCUUUCUAUUAAUUAUUUUCCAGGUUUUUAAGUGCUUAUUUGAUAAGAUGUUUUUAAUUUUGAAUUGGUUUUGCAGGUUAAGUGAUAUUGAUGCUGAUUGAUUGAAAAAGGGGCGCUGUUAUUCAACAGGUUUUGGAAAAGUUCUGAAGAGUUGCUUUUGAAUUGGGAACUUCCAAAAGAGCUUUUGGAAAAGUCUGUGAAAUUUGCUUCAAACUGCUGUGUUUACAGCUUAUUCCAAUUUUUUUAAUAAAAUUAUUUCUGAUGUAACAGAGACUUUUUGGAUUAUGAACUUAGGGACUGCUUGUAACAUGUACAAAUUUAAUUUGGAAUUUCUCUUUUUGGACAAUUAUGUAAUUGUUUUGGAUUAUUAGGAAUUUGGGAUUAGUUAGGAUAUAUUAAACUGUAAGAAAAAUUGGGUUAGACGUGUAACCCUUUGGAUCAUUUGCAAAAUUUACAUAAUUUUAAUUUAAGUUUUUUUGUUAUUUAUGUGGAUACUUUUGGGUUAUUAUGUAACAUUUGGAUUAAAUAGGAAUAUGAUUUGGGAAUAUUAUUUGUGUAAUUAGUCUCUCUUUCUUUUUUUUUUAAAGAAAAAUUAAACUUUGUCUUAAC
rnacentral:lncRNA from 1 species